UCACUUACCUGGACGGGGUCAAUGGGCGAUCAAGGAGGUCCAUGGCCUAGGUUGGUGACCUCCAUUGCACUCAGGAGGGGUGCCCGCCUAAGGUCGGCCCAAGUGGUCGAGUCUACGUCAUAAUUUGUGGCAGUGUGGGCUUGCGUUCGCGCAGCCCCUGC
rnacentral:snRNA from 1 species